GUCUCUUGAGAAGAAUCUCUUGAAGGACAAUCUCUAAGGAAGUCUCUCAAGGAAGGCUGACUCUGGCUGGAACUUCCUCUGGGGAAACUCUGUCCCCUUGAAUCCUCGCUUGAACAGAUCUUAUGAAUAAAACAUGCAUUAGCUGAAUUUGGACUUUCAGGAAGAAAGAAUGAUAAUCAAAUCACAAAUACUUCUUGAGAGGCAUCAUGGAGCAGAAGAUUGAACGCCUUGAAGACCUAGUUCCAGUCCCCUCUAUGGCUCCUAUUGUUGUGUGAUCAAAGAGAAGAAAACUGAGACCCCUUCAGAGGAAGUGAUUUGCCCUUGGCCAUUCAAGUAUAAGUGGAAGAACCAGGGGUUGAGCCCAGGUCUCCUGACAAUAGGUUUAGAACUUUCCCCAUGGC
rnacentral:lncRNA from 1 species